UACAGAGGGUGCAAGCGUUGUUCGGAAUUAUUGGGCGUAAAGGGCGCGUAGGCGGUGCGGUAAGUCUGUUGUGAAAUCUCUGGGCUCAACUCAGAGUCUGCAACGGAAACUGCCGUGCUUGAGUAUGGGAGAGGUGAGUGGAAUUCCCAGUGUAGCGGUGAAAUGCGUAGAUAUUGGGAGGAACACCAGUGGCGAAGGCGGCUCACUGGACCGGUACUGACGCUGAGGCGCGAAAGCGUGGGGAGCAA
rnacentral:rRNA from 1 species